UCCCAGGAGCAUCUGCUCCUGUUUCUCGGGAGGGAGUUAGUUCCUGUGGAAAGUGUUUGUUUAGUUUGAUUACAACUUUGAAGAGGGGUAAGAAUUCUGGCCCAGAAGAAUUUAAUGGCCGGGCACUUCUCUUACAUAAUUUGUAAACAAACAGAGUUUAUCCCAGUGUGGCUCAUUUGGCUCAAUGGCUGGAUUUAGGAAAAUAUAUUCCUCAUUCAUCUGGGAGAAGCCACAGUAAGGCCUGUCAAUAACCAGAAAAAUGUCCAAACCAGCCAGUGACUCUGUUGCCUAAUCCUGACGGACCUUGAAAUCUCUCUUCUGAAACCCAGGACUGUCAACAGAUAGAGUCCCAACUUCAGUUAUGGGUUAUGGGCAGAACCUGAAAAGCAGCUGAUGAAUCGCUCCCCAGAAGUUUCUACACACUCGUGACUGCUCUCGGGGGGUAGGAAAGCACAGCCCCUGACUGAGCCCCCAGGCUGCUGUGAUUACAAACCAUGCUGCUGGAGAACUCGAGGCCAGGGAGGUCAUGUCAUCAAAAAUCUGGCCCUACACAUGGACAUCAUCUACCACGCGUGGCUGUAAGAUCCCCUGGUCUCUAUAAUAAAAGGCAAACACCUUU